rnacentral:rRNA from 1 species
AUUGAACGCUGGCGGCAGGCCUAACACAUGCAAGUCGAACGAGUGGCGGACGGGUGAGUAAUGUCUGGGAAACUGCCCGAUGGAGGGGGAUAACUACUGGAAACGGUAGCUAAUACCGCAUACCAUCGGAUGUGCCCAGAUGGGAUUAGCUAGUAGGUGGGGUAACGGCUCACCUAGGCGACGAUCCCUAGCUGGUCUGAGAGGAUGACCAGCCACACUGGAACGUAGACACGGUCCAGAGUCCUACGGGAGGAAGCAGUGGGGAAUAUUGCACAAUGGGCGCAAGCCUGAUGCAGCCAUGCCGCGUGUAUGAAGAGGGCCUUCGGGUUGUAAAGUACUUUCAGCGGGGAGGCGUUACUCGCAGAGGAAGCACCGGCGAACUCCGUGCCAGCAGCCGCGGUAAUAC